rnacentral:misc_RNA from 1 species
AUGGGUUAUGGGUCUUUUCUAGUUAUAUGUCCCUCAUUUAGCUUCAAUCUUUGUAAUGUGGUAUUCAUUCACCUUCAUCUCUCACAUUCACAUUUGCUAUGAUGCUAUCAUAUAUAACACUUUGUUAUUCUAAAUCAUCCAUAUUCAUCCCUAGACUUGUUCAACAUCUUAUGUAUUGAUUCUUCCUAUUGUACAGUGUAA